UACGGAGGAUGCGAGCGUUAUCCGGAUUUAUUGGGUUUAAAGGGUGCGUAGGCGGGAUGCCAAGUCAGCGGUAAAAUGCGGCGCUCAACGCCGUCGAGCCGUUGAAACUGGCGUUCUUGAGUGGGCGAGAAGUAUGCGGAAUGCGUGGUGUAGCGGUGAAAUGCAUAGAUAUCACGCAGAACUCCGAUUGCGAAGGCAGCAUACCGGCGCCCUACUGACGCUGAGGCACGAAAGCGUGGGUAUCGAACAGG
rnacentral:rRNA from 1 species